CUAACCUCUCACUCCCCAGAUACGUUAAGAAAGAUCAGAUGUUGGCCAUUGGAUAAUUUGGACAAUAGUGCAAAAUCGAGGCGGGGCUCCUUGAUAGAUAGCUGCCCUGUGUGGGAAGUGCUACUCUUAGCUCAAUUUUAUGGAUGAGGAAAUUAAGGCUGAAGAAAGCUCCAUGGCCCCAAAGGAUGCACAGAAGAGAAAAGAUUGUGUGGGGACACAGGAAGAAAGGUGACCAUCUACAAGCCAAGAGAGAGCUCUCACCAGAAACCAACCCUGCCAUCUCCUUGGCCUUAGAACCCAGCCUCCAGAAACAGUUUGAGAAAACAAAUUUCUGUGGUUUAAACC